rnacentral:lncRNA from 1 species
CGCAAAACCACAUUGUCGUAACAUUUGGAGAAUUGAUUUAAUUAUUGAAUGCUCAACUACGAGUACCUUCCUGAAAACUUUGUCCGGAAAGAUGUCACAGUUGGUGAAAAUCGUCACAUUAUAUGUGCUACGGAUGAUCAGCUGGACAUCCUUUCUAAAUCAGUAGUCUGGUAUCUUGAUGGAACUUUCAAAAUUGUUCGGAGACCAUUUGUACAGAUGUUUUCCAUACAUGCUUUUUUGAGAUGUGGAGAAAAUAUAAAGCAGGUCUCUCUUGUCUUUGCUCUCAUGUCAUCGAGGAAAACGAAAGACUAUAAACAGCCAGCCAGCAGUGAAGGAGUUCGUAAUCGACUUAGAGUGAUGCAUGUGGCAGUCAAGUCGGGCCCUCUUUCCGCAGUCGCAGAUUAAAGGGUGUGUAUUCCAUUGGGGCCAAGCCAUCUGAAGACACGUGCAGUCAAUCGGCUUGCAGGUACAAUACAGAGAGCAUGAUACCUGCUACACAUUUAUCACGAAAUUGAUGUCACUAUGUUUUCUGUCCGCGGAGUAUAUAUCCAUCCAACGUUUGACAACUUGAAAGACCAGAUCAACGAAGAUUCUCCCAAACUGGCAGAAUUGGUCCACUACAUGGACAAAACAUGGAUAUCAAACGCAUUCUGGACAUGUGAGUGUUCAUGCGCCCGACACUUACAAACAAUGACAUUGAGGGUUGGCAUAACAGAAUCAACAGUAGUGGUAACUUGGGUGUUUACCUGUUGAUCCCGCUUCUCAACAAAGAGGCUGAAUCACUACCCCUGCAGAACAGUCUUGUGUCAGAGGGCAAACUCAAGAAACUGCAGAGGAAGGGUGCCACAAGAAAGGUGCUCUUCGAAACUUGGGCAUUUUAUAGUAACGGGAAAAUCAGCGUCGGCCGCCUGUUAAAAAUCUGUUUCAGAUUGGUGCAUGUCGCUGAUGGCUGAAACCGCAACGCUGGUGAUUUCAAACGU